GAUGAACGCUGGCGGCGUGCUUAACACAUGCAAGUCGAACGGACUUUAUUUCGGUAAAGUUAGUGGCGGACGGGUGAGUAACGCGUGGGUAACCUGCCUCACACUGGGGGGAUAACAGUUAGAAAUAGCUGCUAAUACCGCAUAUGCGCACGGGAUCGCAUGAUUCAGUGUGGAAAACUCCGGUGGUGUGAGAUGGACCCGCGUCUGAUUAGGUAGUUGGUGAGGUAACGGCUCACCAAGCCGACGAUCAGUAGCCGGCCUGAGAGGGUGAACGGCCACAUUGGGACUGAGACACGGCCCAA
rnacentral:rRNA from 1 species